rnacentral:rRNA from 1 species
UACGUAGGGUGCGAGCGUUAAUCGGAAUUACUGGGCGUAAAGCGCACGUAGGCGGGUCGUUAAGUCGGGGGUGAAAUCCUGGAGCUCAACUCCAGAACUGCCUUCGAAACUGACGAUCUUGAGUUCGGGAGAGGUGAGUGGAACUGCGAGUGUAGAGGUGAAAUUCGUAGAUAUUCGCAAGAACACCAGUGGCGAAGGCGGCUCACUGGCCCGAUACUGACGCUGAGGUGCGAAAGCGUGGGGAG